AAAGCAUCGAGCCCUAUAGCUCUAGUAGACUAACUAGAGUCAAAGCAGAAACAAGAAUGAACAACCAUGGAUCUUUGCAACACAACACAUAUUAAUAAUUUCAUUAUGCAGAAUACUCAUCGAAUAGCCACAAUACAGCAUAAACGAAAGCAUGAGCACACAAAGAUACGAAAAUCUUGAUACACCUGACGUCAAACGGAACAUAACAGCGAAGAAAUAAGAAGGAACCAGAUUUACUUUUCUCGGAGCAGCGAAUUG
rnacentral:misc_RNA from 1 species